rnacentral:misc_RNA from 1 species
CGAAAAGGUUAUGCACAAUCAAGUCGUUCACUGGCGACGCGCAUGCGAAAGCUUCAGGUGUCUUAUUCUUAUUCUAUAAAUAAAAGCCAGUUGGCCAAGUGUCUUUUAUUGCUUAUCGUUCCUUUGGAGUACUGUGAACUUCUGCCUCUGUGGGAUGGCCAAGUGGAAUGGUGGAUGCAGGUACGUGUGUAUUAUUUACUGGCAGGCAUUAACAUUUUAACAUCUGUUCCAGAAAAUGCUUAGUUGAAUGCAAUUAUUAGAAAUUUAAUAAUUACGUAUAUUUCAUAGCCCUCCAUUUUCUUUCUUCAAAAUCAUUUAUAUUGUUCUUUAAGUUGGGG